rnacentral:rRNA from 1 species
CCUACGGGUGGCAGCAGUGGGGAAUAUUGCGCAAUGGGCGAAAGCCUGACGCAGCGACGCCGCGUGAGGGAUGAAGGUCUUCGGAUCGUAAACCUCUGUCAGCAGGGAAGAACGGUCACUGUGCUAAUCAGCAGUGAAUUGACGGUACCUGCAAAGGAAGCACCGGCUAACUCCGUGCCAGCAGCCGCGGUAAUACGGAGGGUGCGAGUGUUAAUCGGAAUUACUGGGCGUAAGGCGCUCGUAGGCGGGAGGGCAAGUCAAGGGUGAAAUCCCCGGGCUCAACGUGGGAACUGCCUUUGAAACUGGCAAACUGGAGUGUGUGAGAGGAUAGUGGAAUUCCAGGUGUAGGAGUGAAAGCCGUAGAUAUCUGGAGGAACAUCAGUGGCGAAGGCGACUAUCUGGCACAUAACUGACGCUGAGGAGCGAAAGCGUGGGUAGCAAACAGGAUUAGAUACCCCUGUAGUC